AUUUCGGUGACCGCUAGCGGGUGGCUUAACACAUGCAAGUCGAGGGGUAUAUAGUUGCUUGCAACUAUAGAGACCGGCGGAUGGGUGAGUAACGCGUAUGAAACUUACCUGUAUCAAUGGGAUAGCCCGGGGAAACCCGGAUUAAUACCAUAUAACAUAUGAACAGGCAUCUGUUUAUAUUAAAAGAUUUAUCGGAUACAGAUAGUCAUGCGUCAGAUUAGUUAGUUGGUAAGGUAACGGCUUACCAAGGCAAUGAUCUGUAGGGGGCCUGAGAGGGUGAUCCCCCACACUGGGACUGAGACACGGCCCAGACUCCUACGGGAGGCAGCAGUGAGGAAUAUUGGUCAAUGGGCGAGAGCCUGAACCAGCCAUCCCGCGUGAAGGAAGACUGCCCUAUGGGUUGUAAACUUCUUUUCUGUUCCAAGAACGUGCCCUACGUGUAGGGUAGUGACGGUAGAACAGGAAUAAGCAUCGGCUAACUCCGUGCCAGCAGCCGCGGUAAUACGGAGGAUGCGAGCGUUAUCCGGAUUCAUUGGGUUUAAAGGGUGCGUAGGCGGCUUCUUAAGUCAGUGGUGAAAUCCUGCGGCUCAACCGUAGAACUGCCAUUGAAACUGGGGAGCUUGAAUACAGAUGAGGUAGGCGGAAUGAGUAGUGAACCGGUGAAAUGCAUAG
rnacentral:rRNA from 1 species